GACGUAGACCCGAGAGGGCCCCGCUUCGCAGGCGGCGGUGCAUGGCGCCAGGGCCAUGUCCUCCGGUCCGCCGCUGGGCGCAGGCGCGUACUUGCGGCGCAGGGAGCGGCUGACGGUCUGUGUCGGAUACCCCAGCAGCCAGGUCGCUGCAGGCCCCUCCUCCGACCCUGCCGCCAUUGCUGUAGCCAAAGGUACCACAGGUGCCACCGCCAGCACCGGCUCCCCCGCAGCAGCAGCAGAUGAGUCCCCAGAUGCCCACCAGCAGGCAGCCCAGCGCGAGCAAAGAGCCCAGCACUGCGCCGAUGAUCACGCCUACACGUCGGGAGUCUGUGAAGAGAAAGAGGCACCAGUCAGGUUCUCUGCCGCCUGGCAGGUGCCUGGCUAAUCAGGAGGUCACCAUUGUUCAGCAGACCUGAAACUGAAGGAGCAGCAGAGGGCUGUAGUGAGGCAGAGAGACCUGGUAUCUGAGAGCUCCACCCCCAGCGUCAAGUGCUGUAGGGUGGGUGAUGGAAGGAGGGACACUUCAUAUGCACACACACACCCAGGUCCACUCCACACUCCAGGUUCAUGAGGUUGAUGGAGGCAUCAUACUGGCUGGGAUCUGAGGCUGCAAAGCGGACCCUCUGCUGCAAAUGGGGGAGGUUGCCAUGGUUGAUCCUCUUGUCCUGGUAACUAAGGAACUGUGAAGAAGAGAAGAAAACAGCUGGUGAGACAGCAGAGCCAAGGAAGGUCAUGUGGAUUGGCUGCCUUGGGCAAUUCAUCCAACUCUGAGACUCACUUUUCUCAGCUGAAAAUGAGAAUGAUGAUCCCUGACCCACUGACUUCUUACAAAAUGGGUGGGAUCAGAUAAGACCAAGUAUUUUGGAAAGCAUAAGAUCAGGCUGGGAACUUCUUGAAGGCAGGUGCCAUCCCUUUGGAGUAACUGCAGAGCUCUCAUUCCCUAUUGCUCCGUUCCACGAGAGGCCAUGGGGGAAGUUCAAGGUCUUGGUUUCCUUAUUUGCCCUCCUCCCCUCAGAGUGUUGGCUGCCCACCAGGUAGACACCAUGGAGUAAGAGAUCCUGGGGCAGCAUAAGGCAAACCAGGGAUGAGCCAGAACUCAGCAGACAGCAGAAGCUCCACCCUGAGGAAGGUCUCCUGUAAGCAACCCACAAACAGAGGAAUCUCUUCACAUCCAGGGGAGUGAGCAGCGGACCCCUGGAAUGGUCAUGCAGAGAAAGCCUGAGGAACGGUGUGGGAGGAGGAGUCAUGAACAGCACGGAAUUGGCAACUUGCUAAGUCUCAGAGAGGACAGACAAGGCACUAUGAGG